AAACAUGUCUUCUAGAUUUAUGAGAAGUCAGGCCUGCACACUGAGGUGUUAAAGAGCUGCAGUAUACUAACUGUGCAAAGGUAGCAUAAUAAUUUGUUAUUUAAUUAAUAACUUGGAUGAAAGGUUUGAUGAUUGUAGACUAUCUUUUUUCUAUUAUUGAAAUUGAGUUUUGGUGAAAAUUCCGAAUUGUAUUUAAGGGACGAUAAGACCCUAUAAAAUUUUACUGUGUAUGUGUUAGUUUGGUUAAAAAAAGUUGUAGUUUGGCUGGGGCGGUUUUUAUAGAGUGAAAAUUAGGAAUGCUAUAAUUAUUUUUAACAAAUAUUAUUGGUUUUAAUGACCCUGAAAGGAUUAAUAAAUAAAAUUACUUUAGGGAUAACAGCGUUAUCUUUCUUAGAGUUCUAAUCAAAAGAAAGGUUUGCGACCUCGAUGUUGAAUUAAGGAUCCUUUCUUAGUGCAGUAGC
rnacentral:rRNA from 1 species